rnacentral:tRNA from 1 species
GAAUGGUCGGGAUAGCUCAGCUGGUA